rnacentral:tRNA from 1 species
GCGGGCGUAGCUCAGUCGGUUAGAGUGCCGGCCUGUCACGCCGGAGGUCGUGGGUUCGAGCCCCGUCGCCCGCGCCA